UCUGUGAGUCUUGUUCUGUGA
rnacentral:piRNA from 1 species